rnacentral:tRNA from 1 species
GCGCCGGUGGCGGAACUGGCAGACGCGCCGGCUUUAGGUGCCGGUGUCUUUGGACGUGUGGGUUCGAGUCCCACCCGGCGCACCA